rnacentral:rRNA from 1 species
GAUGAACGCUGGCGGCGUGCCUAAUACAUGCAAGUCGAGCGAACAGACGAGGAGCUUGCUCCUCUGACGUUAGCGGCGGACGGGUGAGUAACACGUGGAUAACCUACCUAUAAGACUGGGAUAACUUCGGGAAACCGGAGCUAAUACCGGAUAAUAUAUUGAACCGCAUGGUUCAAUAGUGAAAGACGGUUUUGCUGUCACUUAUAGAUGGAUCCGCGCCGCAUUAGCUAGUUGGUAAGGUAACGGCUUACCAAGGCAACGAUGCGUAGCCGACCUGAGAGAGUGAUCGGCCACCCUGGAGCUUAGCCACGGUCCAGACUCCUACGGGAGGCAGCAGUAGGGAAUCUUCCGCAAUGGGCGAAAGCCUGACGGGGCAACGCCGCGUGAGUGAUGAAGGUCUUCGGAUCGUAAAACUCUGUUAUUAGGGAAGAACAAAUGUGUAAGUAACUAUGCACGUCUUGACGGUACCUAAUCAGAAAGCCACGGCUAACUACGUG